AGUUUUUGAUACAGUGGAUUGCAAACAGAUUCAAUUUUGUGUUUGUUUCUUUGAAUCAAUAAAAUCUAACCCUUUUUCUUUUUUUAUUUUAUUUUGCAGGUACGAUUUUUGUCCAAGAUAAGUUACGGAGAAACCCUAAUAGCCAUUCAAGGUACGAUUUUUGUCCAAGAUAAGUUACGGAGAAACCCAUUCAAGAUUACAGAGAGGGUUGUUACUAUGCUAAUAUAUGAACUACUUUGAAUCUAUAAAUCUCAACGAAAUGUCAUACCUUCUAUAUUGACCUGUGUAUAGUAUUCGUAAGUACCACAAGGACAUGAAAAAUCUGGAAGAAAUUGAUAAGAGGUACAAAGAUCUGUCAAGAAGAAAAGUUGAAAAGAGGGUUCCAAAUUUUUUGGAACUGGAAACUCAGAAGGAAAAAGAACCACUAUAGGAAAAUUAAGCCUAAAAAUGUCUAUGAAUGAAUUAGGGUUUGCUGAAGAUGGGUAAAUUGAAGGAUCGGGUGAUGAUAAUGAAAUUCAAGGGUUUGUGGUCGUUGUUGGGUGGAUGAAUUGAUUUCUAAAAUUGGGUUUGUAUCGAUGAAAUUGGGUAUGUGCUGUUCUGAUUGAAUUUUUGUGGUUGUUUACAGGAUUUGAGCUGGAAAUGUAUGGAUAGCAACAUGGACUGGACUGGUGGUUUUGAUCGAGCUUUUGGUGGAGUAUUGCAAUGAGAAGUUGAACUAUGUAUGUGUUUGAUGAAUGAUAUAGAAAUGGGUUGUGAAUGAAUGUAAAAUUGCAGACAAGGAGAUAUAAUGGAAAUCAAGCUUACCUUAUGUGUUGGAAAUCAAGCUUACCUUAUGUGUUUGAUGUAUGUGUUGGAAAUCAAGCUUACCUUAAUUCAAAAAUGUCGAUACUCACUCCAGUAAAUUGUACCUCAUGCGGAAGAUUGGAGGCUAAGAUGUUUGGAUUUACAAGUAGACACUGGAGGGUUUUCCUAUAUCAAGUGUGUUUACGAUUAAUGUUGGUACGAGAAUAAAACUGUUAAUAAAUCAUUUUAGCUCUCAGUUCUUUUAUCAAGCGUGUGUAUGCAAUUGGCAGGCAGGUACUCACUGGGCUUCACAAAAGGGACAAAGCUCUCUACAAUGCAUACAAGACCGAAUGCCAAAAGUGGUACGGAAAGCUUGAGACAUUUGAGAAAAGGUGUAAGACUAAGUUUGGAGCGGGAGAAUAGAAGAGCAGCAUAUGUAAAUGUGGUUUUAAAGACCAAGUUUAGUAAGUUGGAUAGCCAAACAGUCUUGCGGAUUAAAAAAUAAGGUGGUUCUAAGGGUAAGCUCCAUUAUUUCUCUAUUGCUAAAUGUUAAUGGCAUUGCAUUUGCUUCUGGAAGCAUGUGGAUGUGGGUUUCUUAACUUUUUUCAUAUUUUAUAGAUGACGUGUUUACUUGCAGAACGUGCACACCAAAUGUCGGCAUCAGGUUGGGCUUAUGUUUUCUUUUCAUAUUCUCACUAAAAAAUGUUGAUCAUAUAUGUAGGUUGCAGGAAGCAUUGGUGGUCAUUUUAAUCGUCUUGAGUAGUAAUACCGUGGAGAUAUUUGCUUUUGUUGAGUAUAAAGUACCUAGAAACUGUUGUAUUAUGGUUACAUUAAAUUUACCCAUGUGCGAGAAAUCCUUCAAUUUUAAUAGCCAUUGUUGUUUUUCCAUUUUUUCGAGUUGAAGAAAAUGUAGGUUUAGAGUGGUUGAUAAACAACAAAAAAAAAAAACAGCCAAAUGCAAAACACAAUAUAAUUGAUUACAUAAUAAGAUAAAAACACAUAAGAACAUAAGCUAAAAAUAAG